rnacentral:rRNA from 1 species
AUUGAACGCUGGCGGCAUGCCUUACACAUGCAAGUCGAACGGCAGCACGGGUGCUUGCACCUGGUGGCGAGUGGCGAACGGGUGAGUAAUACAUCGGAACAUGUCCUGUAGUGGGGGAUAGCCCGGCGAAAGCCGGAUUAAUACCGCAUACGAUCUACGGAUGAAAGCGGGGGACCUUCGGGCCUCGCGCUAUAGGGUUGGCCGAUGGCUGAUUAGCUAGUUGGUGGGGUAAAGGCCUACCAAGGCGACGAUCAGUAGCUGGUCUGAGAGGACGACCAGCCACACUGGGACUGAGGCACGGCCCAGACUCCUACGGGAGGCAGCAGUGGGGAAUUUUGGACAAUGGGCGAAAGCCUGAUCCAGCAAUGCCGCGUGUGUGAAGAAGGCCUUCGGGUUGUAAAGCACUUUUGUCCGGAAAGAAAUACUUGGCCCUAAUACGGUCGGGGGAUGACGGUACCGGAAGAAUAAGCACCGGCUAACUACGUG